CUUUUCCUGUGCUCUCCGCCCUCUCUCUUUUCUCUCUCCACGGCUUUUCUCACUCCCAAUUCACCUCUCCGUGCCACGUACCUGCCGAGUUCUGUGGUUCAGGUUGUGCAGAUUAUUGUGUUAAUCCUCAGGAAAAAGACAUUGAAGAUUAAAUAUCAAGAGAUUUCACCUCUACUUGCAAGUUACACUGCUGCCAGACGACAGAUCACUGGCCCAUUUGGCUUAUAAAAGAUUUGCUCCUACUGUACUUUGCUCUACUGCAUGGAGAUCUUUUAUUAACAUCUAACUACAGCAGCCUUAUGUCUCUGGACUGCAAAUAAGAAUUACUCUGGGAGAGGUCUGGAAUUUGUUCCAUUAUAUACUGGAGUGGGGCCAACAGCUGACGACUUGAUUUUGAGUCUAGUGACAGAUUUAGUAUCUGUUUGCCCAAGAAACCAAGACAUUUGAAAUAUGUGCAAAGCCUGUACUAUUCCGUGAGAGCUGAGAUAUUAUUAUAACCUGAAACUUUAGUCAUCAUCUUCUAAGUUUGAAAACAAUUGGUGGUAUUGAAUGGGAACAUUAUGUGAGAGCUCACAUGCAUCUAAAAAGAAAAUGAAAUAAAAAUAUUGUUUUUUUUCCUCA